UGGGUGGAGAUGCAGUUUGGAUGCUUUUUAAGGCUGGAUCUUUAUAAUAUAUGGCUACUGAUCUUGACUUGACCUGCCUGAUUGACUGGGCUUGGCCUGCCCUGCUCAGUUCUGUUGUACCCUUCCUCCUUGUGCUGAUUCAUGCUGGGAAUGGAAGUUGGAACAACUCCAGAAUCUUUACUGGAAAAGCAACAUCUGAACCAACCCCUUAUCUCCACUGGUGAGAUGUUCAUGGGCAAGCCUGGCUGCUGAUAAACCUGUCAGGAGUAAUCGUGGCCCUCUGUAGAGAGCCUGUCAGCUUCCUGUCUGCUCAGCCUUUUAACCAGUUUUGGCCGUUGCUGUGCUGAGAAGAAUCAGGAAAGUACCGAAGCUUGGAUCAUGGACAAUUUGGAAUCCUUACCAAACUGACUUUCUUGGAGAGGUUCAAAGAAGGAACUUGUUCUACUUGUCCCGGGAGGAAUGCUGGAAUUCAUUUUGACUCUCACUUUGUGUGAAAUUUUGGUGCCAAACCAAGGAAGUUGCAACACCCCGCUGAGAUGUUUAACUUGUGUUACAGAAACUCAUCUGACUUCCCUUGAAAAUUAUCAGAUGUUUUCCUUGGGGAGGAACUCUGAAACAGACGCUGAAUUUCACUUUGUGUGCAAUUUAGUGUCCCCUACACAUGCUUAUUUUGCUGACGGUGACAGUACAUCAUGAGUUUUGUAGUGUUAAUCCAUGUGGUGAACAACCAAUUAAUAGAUCCCAACCAUUAUACUGGGGAAAGUUGCACCAUGUUGCACUGCAACUGCAACAAGUUGCACUAGCAACGGCAAAUGCCUCCUCCUCACCAGGGUCUUUCCCUUUUUGAGAACCUUAGGGAUAUAAACAAUGCUCUCAGUAACUUCUGUUUCGACUGCUCUGCAAAUGAUUGAAGUGUCACAGAUUGAACUUGAUAGAUUUCUUACCUGGCAUGCAAAUUCCUUUGGGAUGGUACUUUCCUCCCCCUCCAAAAACAACAAUUUGUUCUUUGAACAUAAAGCAAUGAAGGGAGGGAUAUACCUGGCCCUCUCUUUGAUCAAUUAUGCAGUUGUAAUUGUUUUGAUGAAUGUUUUUAAAAUGCAUAGUUGGGUUAUUUAUUUAUUUCCUUUUUGUUUUAUGAUCAGUGCAUACAAAAAGACAAAAACAAAAAACCCAACUGGGGUCACCUUUUCAUCAUAGUGGAGAGAGCUAACAAAGCAUAGGGUGGCUAAUUCUAAGGGAAAUGAAUUCAAAAUGGGCCAAAACUGUUAAGUAUGUUGGAUCAUAGGGCCUCAACUAGUUACUGUUACAACCAAUGUACAGUACAUCUGCUCUUACAUGAAGCUUUUCCUGGGAAACAAAGGUUAAUGUGCUCCUUUGGAUCUUCAUGCCCAUGCUAAAUAUCCAUGGGAUUUUGAGGGAAGCAAAAAAGAGUACUGAUAACACUAGAGAGAUAUUUUUUCUUCCACAGUGAGGAGUUAUACAUAUUUAUCAAUAUAUCCUAUGUAGCCGGAUUGUCUGCUUGUUUAUUCAGAAUAAAAUUCCACUGAUUUCA